UACGUAGGGUGCGAGCGUUGUCCGGAAUUAUUGGGCGUAAAGAGCUCGUAGGCGGUGUGUCGCGUCGGUCGUGAAAACUUGGGGCUUAACCCUGAGCUUGCGGUCGAUACGGGCAUCACUGGAGUUCGGCAGGGGAGAAUGGAAUUCCUGGUGUAGCGGUGAAAUGCGCAGAUAUCAGGAAGAACACCCGUGGCUAAGGCGGUUCUCUAGUACGGUACUGACGCUGAGACGCGAAAGCGUGGGGAGCGAACAGG
rnacentral:rRNA from 1 species